AUUGAACGCUGGCGGCAGGCCUAACACAUGCAAGUCGAACGAGUGGCGGACGGGUGAGUAAUGUCUGGGAAACUGCCCGCUGGAGGGGGAUAACUACUGGAAACGGUAGCUAAUACCGCAUACCAUCGGAUGUGCCCAGAUGGGAUUAGCUAGUAGGUGGGGUAACGGCGCACCUAGGCGACGAUCCCUAGCUGGUCUGAGAGGAUGACCAGCCAAACUGGAACUGAUACACGUUCCAGACUCCUACGGGAGGCAGCAGUGGGGAAUAUUGGACAAUGAGCGCAGUCCUGAUGCAGCCAUGCCGCGUGUAUGAAGAAGGCCUUCGGGUUGUAAAGUACUUUCAGCGAGGAGGCGUUACUCGCAGAAGAAGCACCGGCUAACUCCGUGCCAGCAGCCGCGGUAAUUC
rnacentral:rRNA from 1 species